rnacentral:rRNA from 1 species
AAGAAGAGUUUGAUCCUGGCUCAGGAUGAACGCUAGCGGCAGGCUUAACACAUGCAAGUCGAGGGGCAGCGUGGGGCAGCAAUGCUCUGACGGCGACCGGCGGAAGGGUGCGUAACACGUGAGCGACUUGCCCGUCACAGGGGGAUAACCGGCGGAAACGGCGACUAAUACCCCAUAUGAUGUGAUGCUGCAUGGCAUCGCAUUGAAAGAUUCAUCGGUGGCGGAUAGGCUCGCGGGACAUUAGCUAGACGGCGGGGCAACGGCCCACCGUGGCGACGAUGUCUAGGGGUUCUGAGAGGAAGACCCCCCACACUGGGACUGAGACACGGCCCAGACUCCUACGGGAGGCAGCAGUGAGGAAUAUUGGUCAAUGGGCGGAAGCCUGAACCAGCCAUGCCGCGUGAAGGACUAAGGCCCUACGGGUCGUAAACUUCUUUAGACGCAGAGCAAUAAGGUCCACGCGUGGACCGAUGAGAGUAUGCGUAGAAUAAGCAUCGGCUAACUCCGUGCCAGCAGCCGCGGUAAUACGGGGGAUGCGAGCGUUAUCCGGAUUCAUUGGGUUUAAAGGGUGCGUAGGCGGCCGAGUAAGUCAGCGGUGAAAGACCGGGGCUCAACCCUGGAAGUGCCGUUGAUACUGUUUGGCUGGAAUGAUCCCGCCGCGGGAGGAAUGAGUGGUGUAGCGGUGAAAUGCAUAGAUAUCACUCAGAACACCGAUUGCGAAGGCAUCUCGCGAGGGGUCAAUUGACGCUGAGGCACGAAAGCGUGGGGAUCGAACAGGAUUAGAUACCCUGGUAGUCCACGCAGUAAACGAUGAUGGCUAACUGUCGGGCCUGCGGGUUCGGCGGCCAAGCGAAAGCGAUAAGCCAUCCACCUGGGGAGUACGACCGCAAGGUUGAAACUCAAAGGAAUUGACGGGGGCCCGCACAAGCGGAGGAACAUGUGGUUUAAUUCGAUGAUACGCGAGGAACCUUACCCAGGCUCGAACGGCAGUUGAAUUGAGUAGAGAUAUUCAAGUCUUCGGACAGCUGUCGAGGUGCUGCAUGGUUGUCGUCAGCUCGUGCCGUGAGGUGUCGGCUUAAGUGCCAUAACGAGCGCAACCCUUGCCUUCAGUUGCCAUCAGGUAGAGCUGGGCACUCUGGAGGGACUGCCACCGCAAGGUGUGAGGAAGGGGGGGAUGACGUCAAAUCAGCACGGCCCUUACGUCUGGGGCGACACACGUGUUACAAUGGCGGCUACAGAAGGAGGCUACCCCGCGAGGGGAUGCGGAUCUUAAAAGGCCGUCUCAGUUCGGACUGGAGUCUGCAACCCGACUCCACGAAGCUGGAUUCGCUAGUAAUCGCGCAUCAGCCAUGGCGCGGUGAAUACGUUCCCGGGCCUUGUACACACCGCCCGUCAAGCCAUGAAAGCCGGUGGCGCCUGAAGUACGUGACCGCAAGGAGCGUCCUAGGGCGAAAACGGUAAUUGGGGCUAAGUCGUAACAAGGUAGCCGUACCGGAAGGUGUGGCUGGAACACCUCCUU